UACAGAGGGGGCAAGCGUUGUUCGGAAUUACUGGGCGUAAAGGGCGCGUAGGCGGCCAACUAAGUCCGACGUGAAAUCCCAAGGCUUAACCUUGGAACUGCGUCGGAUACUGGAUGGCUUGAAUUCGGGAGAGGGAUGCAGAAUUCCAGGUGUAGCGGUGAAAUGCGUAGAUAUCUGGAGGAACACCGAUGGCGAAGGCAGGUCACUGGGCCGCAACUGACGCUGAGGAGCGAAAGCAUGGGGAGCGAACAGG
rnacentral:rRNA from 1 species